AGAGCUCCUCUGGAGUCAAGCAGCUGUACCUGAGGGUUGUCCAAGACAUCACUGCCAGAAUGUUUACAUCUCUGAAGACUACAAUAGCAAGUUCUAUGUGGGAGUUGGCCCAGCAUAUACUGCAAGAAAACCUCAGGGAAGGACUUGAAGGAUCUGUGGAUUAAACAUAGUGCAGAGCUCAUUCCUAAGUUCCCAUCUCUCUUCUUCUGAGUCUCAGGACUCUUUAAGAUGUUUGAAGAUUAUCCAAAACUGUAUCAUCCUGGACAAAUCUUUUUUGGAGAAAUGCACAUAACUUCUCUUUUAAGUUUCCAAAGGUGAUAAAUUUUAAAAGGAUAUGGCUACUGUGAUACUUCACCAAAGAAUGCAUGUGUGAGACUUAUGAAUCUACUGGCUAUACAUUUUUUUCUUGCUAGUUAACACCUUAUAUUGAGAGACAAAGCAGUUCAGAACUUCUACCACAUUAUGCUGUGAGUGGAAAGCUUUGGUAAAUCAGCGAGAACUGAGACCUCCAAGAUGAGAUUCACCUGCACAGUGAAUUUUCUAAGGACUGUCAUCAUAUUCCAGUUAUGGACCAAGCCCU